GAUGAACGCUGGGGCCUUGCUUAACCCAUCCAGGCCGACCGAACACCCCCUCCCGAAGUUGGACACGCCUGGCGGUGGAUGGUUCAAUUUAAGGUACCUGGGGGCCGACGGGUGGGUUAAGCGGGGGUUAACCUGCCCCAUGAGGGGGGCAAAAGUUUGGAAACACCUCUUAUACCGCCUAAUUAGAAGGAAUUGCCAGUUUUCUUCCUGAAAGAUUUAUCGCUAUGAGAUGGACCCGCGUCUGAUUAGCUAGUUGGUAAGGUAACGGCUUACCAAGGCGACGAUCAGUAGCCGGCUUGAGAGAGUGAACGGCCACAUUGGGACUGAGACACGGCCCAAACUCCUACGGGAGGCAGCAGUGGGGAAUAUUGCACAAUGGGGGAAACCCUGAUGCAGCGACGCCGCGUGAGUGAAGAAGUAUUUCGGUAUGUAAAGCUCUAUCAGCAGGGAAGAUAAUGACGGUACCUGACUAAGAAGCCCCGGCUAACUACGUG
rnacentral:rRNA from 1 species